rnacentral:sRNA from 1 species
AAAAGUCAACUCACAGGGCACCAGGCAGGAGAUGCGGGUCCCAUUUUGCUCUAAACAGAGUGGGCAGGGGCGCUGUUUUCCUCUCUUUAUCACCAUGCUCUAGGUAAAGCCUGCCUGUGGAACUUGUGCCCUCUUCUCUUUCUAUCCACAAACUCCAUAAGGGGUUCUUUAGCAACUAAGCAAGAAGGCGUCUCUGUUGUCUCCUUAAUUAAGGAUGCCUGCUGCAGGGAUCUCACUCAGAGGGAGCCGGGCACCUUUUACCUUUCUCCAUCUAAGCCUAUGUUUCCGAAGAGUUAAAGGCUGCUGCCCUGGUGGACGAAGGUUUAGACCCAGAGGAGCAUACGGCAGAUGGAGAGCCCUCGGCCAAGUACAUGUGCCCGGAGAAGGAGCUCACCAGGGCCUGCCCCAGCUACCAGAACUCCCCGGCCGCUGAGUUUUCCUGCCACGAAAUGGACAGUGAGUCACACAUCAGUGAGACCAGUGACCGAAUGGCUGACUUUGAAAGUGGCUCCAUCAAGAAUGAAGAGGAGACCAAGGAGGUCACGGUCCCACUGGAAGACACGACUGUGUCGGAUAGCCUGGAGCAGAUGAAGGCCGUGUACAACAACUUCCUCUCCAACUCCUACUGGUCCAACCUCAACCUCAACCUGCACCAGCCCUCCUCGGAGAAGAACAACGGCAGCAGCAGCAGCAGCAGUAGCAGCAGCAGCAGCUGUGGCAGCGGGAGCUUCGACUGGCACCAGAGCGCCAUGGCUAAGACGCUGCAGCAGGUGUCGCAGAGCCGCAUGCUCCCGGAACCCAGCCUCUUCAGCACCGUGCAGCUGUACCGGCAGAG